CCCAUCGGUGAUGAUGAGCUUGUCUCCUACAUCACCGCCAUCCUCGACAUGGAGUACCAGCCCCUCAUCUCCACCAACGAUGCCCGCACCGAACAUCAUCCUUGAUGAUCUCUACGCCCAGAUGAGCAACUUCAAUC
rnacentral:snoRNA from 1 species